GUGAGGAAUAUUGGACAAUGGGCGCAAGCCUGAUCCAGCCAUGCCGCGUGCAGGAAGACGCAUCUAUGGUGUGUAAACUGCUUUUGUACGGGAAGAAACACUCCCUCGUGAGGGAGCUUGACGGUACCGUAAGAAUAAGGAUCGGCUAACUCCGUGCCAGCAGCCGCGGUAAUACGGAGGAUCCAAGCGUUAUCCGGAAUCAUUGGGUUUAAAGGGUCCGUAGGCGGUUUAAUAAGUCAGUGGUGAAAGCCAAUCGCUCAACGAUGGAACGGCCAUUGAUACUGUUAGACUUGAAUUACAAGGAAGUAACUAGAAUAUGUAGUGUAGCGGUGAAAUGCUUAGAUAUUACAUGGAAUACCAAUUGCGAAGGCAGGUUACUACUUGUGGAUUGACGCUGAUGGACGAAAGCGUGGGGAGCGAACAGGAUUAGAUACCCUGGUAGUCC
rnacentral:rRNA from 1 species